rnacentral:sRNA from 1 species
GCUGGGCACAGUGGUGUGUACCUGUAGUCCCAGCUACUCAGGAGGCUGAGGUGGGAGGACUGCUUGAGCCCAGGUGUUUGGGGACCAGCCUGGGCAACACAGCAAGACCUUGUCUCAA